rnacentral:rRNA from 1 species
UACAGGGGGGGGCAAGCGUUGUUCGGAAUUACUGGGCGUAAAGGCUCGUAGGCGGCCAACUAAGUCACACGUGAAAUCCCCAGGCUUAACCUGGGAACUGCGUGUGAUACUGGAUGGCUUGAAUUCGGGAGAGGGAUGCAGAAUUCCAGGUGUAGCGGUGAAAUGCGUAGAUAUCUGGAGGAACACCGGUGGCGAAGGCGGCGUUCUGGACUGUAUCUGACACUGAGGAACGAAAGCCAGGGGAGCAAACGGG